rnacentral:rRNA from 1 species
UACGUAGGGGGCAAGCGUUGUCCGGAAUCAUUGGGCGUAAAGCGCACGUAGGCGGCCCGGUAAGUCCGUUGUGAAAGUCAGAGGCUCAACCUCUGGAGGCCAAUGGAUACUGCCGGGCUAGAGUCCGGAAGAGGCGAGUGGAAUUCCUGGUGUAGCGGUGGAAUGCGCAGAUAUCAGGAGGAACACCAAUGGCGAAGGCAGCUCGCUGGGACGGUACUGACGCUGAGGCGCGAAAGCGUGGGGAGCAAACAGG